GCAAAGUAACAAGUAACUAAAGAAGACGGAAGGAUGAAUUUGUUUUACGAUCAGCUUUAAUUUAAGUAACCAGGAAGUUGUUUACGUCAGAUAGAAGCCCGCGAAACGAAAAAGCAAUGGCAGAAUUCUGGGAGUAUCUCUCACUUUUCUUUUGGUAUCACCGCCUUGUCAAGUUGCUGCUUCAUUUAUCAACCGGCCAGUGUGAGUUAGAGAGGAUCUGCUACAAAAGGAGGCGCGGAGCUCUAAGGACAGGCCAAGUUG